GACGAACGCUGGCGGCGUGCUUAACACAUGCAAGUCGAACGGAAAGGCCCUGCUUUUGUGGGGUGCUCGAGUGGCGAACGGGUGAGUAACACGUGAGUAACCUGCCCUUGACUUUGGGAUAACUUCAGGAAACUGGGGCUAAUACCGGAUAGGAGCUCCUGCUGCAUGGUGGGGGUUGGAAAGUUUCGGCGGUUGGGGAUGGACUCGCGGCUUAUCAGCUUGUUGGUGGGGUAGUGGCUUACCAAGGCUUUGACGGGUAGCCGGCCUGAGAGGGUGACCGGCCACAUUGGGACUGAGAUACGGCCCAGACUCCUACGGGAGGCAGCAGUGGGGAAUAUUGAACAAUGGGCGGAAGACUGAUGCAGCAACGCAGCGUGCGGGAUGACGGCCUUCGGGUUGUAAACCGCUUUCGCCUGUGACGAAGCGUGAGUGACGGUAAUGGGUAAAGAAGCACCGGCUAACUACGUG
rnacentral:rRNA from 1 species